UACGAAGGGGGCUAGCGUUGCUCGGAAUUACUGGGCGUAAAGCGCACGUAGGCGGAUUGUUAAGUCAGGGGUGAAAUCCCAGAGCUCAACUCUGGAACUGCCUUUGAUACUGGCGAUCUUGAGUCCGGAAGAGGUGAGUGGAACUCCGAGUGUAGAGGUGAAAUUCGUAGAUAUUCGGAAGAACACCAGUGGCGAAGGCGGCUUGCCAGAACGCGCUCGACGGUGAGGGAUGAAAGCUGGGGGAGCAAACCGG
rnacentral:rRNA from 1 species